GAUGAACGCUAGCGGCAGGCCUAAUACAUGCAAGUCGAACGGUGUCUUCGGACAUAGUGGCGCACGGGUGCGUAACACGUAUGCAACCUACCUUACAUUGGGGGAUAGCCUUUCGAAAGGGAGAUUAAUACCGCAUAAGACAGUAGCUGGGCAUCCAGCAGCUGUUAAAGAUUUAUCGAUGUAAGCUGGGCAUGCGUCCAAUUAGCUAGUUGGUGAGGUAACGGCUCACCAAGGCAAUGAUUGGUAGGGGAACUGAGAGGUCAAUCCCCCACACUGGCACUGAGAUACGGGCCAGACUCCUACGGGAGGCAGCAGUAGGGAAUAUUGGGCAAUGGACGCAAGUCUGACCCAGCCAUGCCGCGUGCAGGAUGAAGGCAUUAUGCGUUGUAAACUGCUUUUAUACAGGAAGAAACGACUCUUGCGAGAGGCAUUGACGGUACUGUAUGAAUAAGCACCGGCUAACUCCGUGCCAGCCGCCGCGGUAA
rnacentral:rRNA from 1 species